AAAAAUGAAAUUAUUUAGAGGGGCACAUGAGAUAUACGUCCGUUGGCAAAAUGUGGUGAAAAGGAUAGCUACCUCUCUCUCUCUUCACUCUAAAACCUUUUUAGAGAUCUCAAUCCAUUGCGUGCAGGAUCUUUCGUGAGACAAAAACCAUGACCAACUUCUCCAUGAAAUCAGAUCCAAAAGAUCCAACACUCUUUCACAGACCCAACACGCAAAGGAAAGUAGCAGUUGUUUUCACCAGCGUGCAAGCUCCAUUGUUUUCAUCAACAUCCAAUUCCGACGGUCCGGUGAUCGAAAUGGCUUCGCUUCUUGGAUCGGUCUUCUUAUGCUCCUCUUAGCACUGAAGAUCCAAGUCCUUCAAGCCUUUUUUGUUGCUAAUUUUCUUUAUUUCUUGUUUGGUUGGUGAGAAAGUGAUGGAAAAGAGUAGAAAUAGAAGGAAAGAUGAUUGGCAACCAAAGAUCUGUUGAUUUUCUUUGUGUUUGGUUAAUUUUCUUUAUUUCUUGUUUUCUCUGUGUUUUUCUCGGCAACCAAACAAAUCCUGUGUAAUACUAAUUUCUUGUUUUACUUGAUUUUGGAAGAAAUUUUUUGA